rnacentral:rRNA from 1 species
UACAGAGGUCUCAAGCGUUGUUCGGAUUCAUUGGGCGUAAAGGGUGCGUAGGUGGCGCCGUAAGUCAGGUGUGAAAUUUCGGAGCUUAACUCCGAAACUGCAUUUGAUACUGCGGUGCUUUGAGGACUGGAGAGGAGACUGGAAUUUACGGUGUAGCAGUGAAAUGCGUAGAGAUCGUAAGGAAGACCAGUGGCGAAGGCGGGUCUCUGGACAGUUCCUGACACUGAGGCAACGAAGGCCCAGGGGAGCAAACGGG